rnacentral:lncRNA from 1 species
GGAAGGAGGGAGUUGGACACACACAGAUAGUACCACCCAGAGAUGGCAGUAGAGUUUGGAAUGUUGCAUCUACAAGUCAAGGCGUGUUGCUGGCCCAGUUGGAACUGAGAAGUUAUCUGUUGCAGCAUCCCAGGGAAGACAUCCACAGAGGGGCCUGGCUUGCCUUUCCUGAGUGUAUCCUGGACCGCUGCAGAGGGAAGGAAGAUGCUGUCGUCCAUUCAGUUGCAGGGCCUCAUGGGGAGUGA